rnacentral:tRNA from 12 species
CGGGACUGACGGGGCUCGAAC